rnacentral:rRNA from 1 species
UGAUGGCGACCGGCGCACGGGUGAGUAACACGUAUCCAACCUGCCGAUGACUCGGGGAUAGCCUUUCGAAAGAAAGAUUAAUACCCGAUGGCAUAGUUCUUCCGCAUGGUGGAACUAUUAAAGAAUUUCGGUCAUCGAUGGGGAUGCGUUCCAUUAGGUUGUUGGCGGGGUAACGGCCCACCAAGCCUUCGAUGGAUAGGGGUUCUGAGAGGAAGGUCCCCCACAUUGGAACUGAGACACGGUCCAAACUCCUACGGGAGGCAGCAUG